rnacentral:rRNA from 1 species
UACGUAGGCAGCGAGCGUUGUUCGGAGUUACUGGGCGUAAAGAGUGCGUAGGCGGUUUUCUAAGUUUGGUGUGAAAUCUCCCGGCUUAACUGGGAGGGUGCGCCGAAGACUGGAAGGCUUGAGUAUGGGAGAGGUAAGCGGAAUUCCUGGUGUAGCGGUGGAAUGCGUAGAGAUCCGGAAGAACACCGGUGGCGAAGGCGGCCUGCUGGGCAGUUGCUGACACUGAUGCGCGACAGCGUGGGGAGCAAACAGG